UACGGAGGGAGCUAGCGUUGUUCGGAGUUACUGGGCGUAAAGGGUGUGUAGGCGGUUCUUUAAGUUUGGUGUGAAAUCUCCCGGCUCAACCGGGAGGGUGCGCCGAAUACUGAGGGACUAGAGUGCGGGAGAGGAAAGUGGAAUUCCUGGUGUAGCGGUGAAAUGCGUAGAUAUCAGGAGGAACACCGGUGGUGUAGACGGCUUUCUGGACCGUAACUGACGCUGAAACACGAAAGCGUGGGUAGCAAACAGG
rnacentral:rRNA from 1 species